GUCCACGCCGUAAACGAUGUGUGUUUGGCGCUGGGGAGUUUACUCUUCGGUGCCGUAGCUAACGCGUUAAGCACACCGCCUGGGAAGUACGGCCGCAAGGUUAAAACUCAAAGGAAUUGACGGGGACCCGCACAAGCGGUGGAGUAUGUGGUUUAAUUCGUCGCAACGCGAAGAACCUUACCAGGCCUUGACAUACCGGUUAAGAAGGGCAGAGAUGCCUUUCGUCAGUUCGGCUGGACCGGAUACAGGUGCUGCAUGGCUGUCGU
rnacentral:rRNA from 1 species